AGAGUUUGAUCAUGGCUCAGGACGAACGCUGGCGGCGCGCCUAACACAUGCAAGUCGAACGGAGUUAAGAGGAGCUUGCUUUUCUUGACUUAGUGGCGAACGGGUGAGUAACGCGUGAGUGACCUGCCUCAGAGUGGGGGACAACAGUUGGAAACGACUGCUAAUACCGCAUAAGACCACGGGGUCGCAUGGCCCUGAGGUAAAAGGAUUUAUUCGCUUUGAGAUGGACUCGUGUCCAAUUAGCUAGUUGGUGAGGUAACGGCCCACCAAGGCGACGAUUGGUAGCCGGACUGAGAGGUUGGACGGCCACAUUGGGACCGAGACACGGCCCAGACUCCUACGGGGGGCAGCAGUGGGGGAUAUUGCACAAUGGGGGAAACCCUGAUGCAGCGACGCCGCGUGGAGGAAGAAGGUUUUCGGAUUGUACACUCCUGUCGUAAGGGACGAUAAUGACGGUACCUUACAAGAAAGCCACGGCUAACUACGUGCCAGCAGCCGCGGUAAAACGUAGGUGGCAAGCGUUGUCCGGAAUUACUGGGUGUAAAGGGAGCGCAGGCGGACCGGCAAGUUGGAAGUGAAAACUAUGGGCUCAACCCAUAAACUGCUUUCAAAACUGCUGGCCUUGAGUAGUGCAGAGGUAGGCGGAAUUCCCGGUGUAGCGGUGGAAUGCGUAGAUAUCGGGAGGAACACCAGUGGCGAAGGCGGCCUACUGGGCACCAACUGACGCUGAGGCUCGAAAGUGUGGGUAGCAAACAGGAUUAGAUACCCUGGUAGUCCACACCGUAAACGAUGAUUACUAGGUGUUGGAGGAUUGACCCCUUCAGUGCCGCAGUUAACACAAUAAGUAAUCCACCUGGGGA
rnacentral:rRNA from 1 species